GUGGGGAAUAUUGGACAAUGGGCGAAAGCCUGAUCCAGCCAUGCCGCGUGUGUGAAGAAGGUCUUCGGAUUGUAAAGCACUUUAAGUUGGGAGGAAGGGCAGUAAGUUAAUACCUUGCUGUUUUGACGUUACCGACAGAAUAAGCACCGACUAACUUCGUGCCAGCAGCCGCGGUAAUACGAAGGGUGCAAGCGUUAAUCGGAAUUACUGGGCGUAAAGCGAGCGUAGGUGGUUCAGCAAGUUAGAGGUGAAAUCCCCGGGCUCAACCUGGGAACUGCCUCCAAAACUACUGAGCUAGAGUACGGUAGAGGGUAGUGGAAUGUCCUGUGUAGCGGUGAAAUGCGUAGAUAUAGGAAGGAACACCAGUGGCGAAGGCGACUACCUGGACUGAUACUGACACUGAGGUGCGAAAGCGUGGGGAGCAAACAGGAUUAGAAACCCCGGUAGUCC
rnacentral:rRNA from 1 species